rnacentral:rRNA from 1 species
UACGUAGGGUGCAAGGCGUUAGUCCGGAAUUAUUGGUGCGUAAAGAGCUCGUAGGCGGUCUGUCGCGUCUGCUGUGAAAACUCAGGGCUUAACCCUGAGCUUGCAGUGGAUACGGGCAGACUAGAGGUAGGUAGGGGAGAAUGGAAUUCCCGGUGUAGCGGUGAAAUGCGCAGAUAUCGGGAGGAACACCGGUGGCGAAGGCGGUUCUCUGGGCCUUACCUGACGCUGAGGAGCGAAAGCGUGGGGAGCGAACAGG